CGCACCUUCGGCGUAGGAGUUCGGAGAUUGCAUUGUCGCCUGCUUAAACCCUCCUCUGCUGCUUCCACCGAAAGAUGUGAGAGAUCUGCUGUUCUUGUCCUCUUGGCCAUUCUAUUACGUGCCAUCAACCACACUGAGCAGGCAGGUGGGGAGACAGUUGUGAGCUCCCCAGAGCGCCAGGAUGCUAGACUUUCCGCGUCCUGACGAAGCCUAAGAGGAUCUCUUGCUGUUCACUAUAAUCCUUUUGUGAAUUCUUUUAUAAUCUCCACGAGACAGGAGUUUAGAUGAAUGAUCAGCCGGCUCCGCUGACGGUAAUUCCAAAGACUGCUCGCUAGGCUUGGUUUAUCAAGUUGAUCUCUUUAAGCUUAAUGCAUCGAAUGCAUAUUUCCUUAAAGGGACCAUUUUUGUGAGGUUCAAGAGUACACCCAAGGUGCAGGCACCGAUCUAUUAAAACAGUCGAAAUUUCGAAAGCAGUUGCUUUAAAGACAAAACUUUACCAGGUUUAACUUGAGGGUAUUAAGUUGGAUGUAUCACUAUUGAUU
rnacentral:lncRNA from 1 species